rnacentral:misc_RNA from 1 species
GAUGAAGAACGCAGCGAACUGCGAUAAGUAAUGUGAAUUGCAGAAUUCAGUGAAUCAUCGAGUCUUUGAACGCACAUUGUGCCCCCUGGCAUUCCGGGGGGCAUGCCUGUCCGAGCGUCAUUGCUGCCCUUCAAGCCCGGCUUGUGUGUUGGGUCGUCGUCCCCCCCGGGGGACGGGCCCGAAAGGCAGCGGCGGCACCGCGUCCGGUCCUCGAGCGUAUGGGGCUUUGUCACCCGCUCGAUUAGGGCCGGCCGGGCGCCAGCCGGCGUCUCCAACCUUCUAUUUUACCAGGUUGACCUCGGAUCAGGUAGGGAUACCCGCUGAACUUAAGCAUAUCAAUAAGCGGAGGA